UACGUAGGCGGCCAUAUAAGUCAGAAGUGAAAGGCUACGGCUUAACCGUAGUAAGCUUUUGAAACUGUACGGCUUGAGUGCAGGAGAGGAAAGCGGAAUUCCUAGUGUAGCGGUGAAAUGCGUAGAUAUUAGGAAGAACACCAGUAGCGAAGGCGGCUUUCUGGACUGAAACUGACGCUGAGGUACGAAAGCGUGGGGAGCGAACAGGAUUAGAUACCCUGGUAGUCC
rnacentral:rRNA from 1 species